rnacentral:rRNA from 1 species
AGAGUGAACGCUGGCGGCAGGCCUAACACAUGCAAGUCGAACGGCAGCACAAGGGAGCUUGCUCCCUGGGUGGCGAGUGGCGGACGGGUGAGGAAUACGUCGGAAUCUGCCUAUUUGUGGGGGAUAACGUAGGGAAACUUACGCUAAUACCGCAUACGACCCCAUGCCGAGAGGUGCGGGGUGAAAGCGGAGGACCUUCGGGCUUCGCGCAGAUAGAUGAGCCGACGUCGGAUUAGCUUGUUGGCGGGGUAACGGCCCACCAAGGCGACGAUCCGUAGCUGGUCUGAGAGGAUGAUCAGCCACACUGGAACUGAGACACGGUCCAGACUCCUACGGGAGGCAGCAGUGGGGAAUAUUGGACAAUGGGCGCAAGCCUGAUCCAGCCAUGCCGCGUGUGUGAAGAAGGCCUCGGUUGUAAAGACACUUUGUCCGGAAAGAAAAGACGUUACGGUUAAGUAACCUCGAGGUCCUGACGGUACCGAACGAAGUAAAGACACGACCGAACUUACGU